rnacentral:rRNA from 1 species
AUUGAACGCUGGCGGCAGGCCUAACACAUGCAAGUCGAGCGGAUGACGGGAGCUUGCUCCUUGAUUCAGCGGCGGACGGGUGAGUAAUGCCUAGGAAUCUGCCUGGUAGUGGGGGACAACGUUUCGAAAGGAACGCUAAUACCGCAUACGUCCUACGGGAGAAAGCAGGGGACCUUCGGGCCUUGCGCUAUCAGAUGAGCCUAGGUCGGAUUAGCUAGUAGGUGAGGUAAUGGCUCACCUAGGGGACGAUCCGUAACUGGUCUGAGAGGAUGAACAGUCAAACUGGAACUGAGACACGGUCCGGACUCCUACGGGAGGCAGCAGUGGGGAAUAUUGGACAAUGGGCGAAAGCCUGAUCCAGCCAUGCCACGUGUGUGAAGAAGGUCUUCGGAUUGUAAAGCACUUUAAGUUGGGAGGAAGGGCAGUAAGCUAAUACCUUGCUGUUUUGACGUUACCGACAGAAUAAGCACCGGCUAACUCUGUGCCAGCCGCCGCGGUAAGAC